rnacentral:rRNA from 1 species
AUGCAUGGCUUCGGGAUACUUACUUAUCGUAAAGCCGCAAAUGCCAUUGAUGUUGAAAUCUGGAUGGAAGACAUCACAUGCCUUAAGUACAUGAAAUUUGCAUGCACCGUGAUGAAGGUGUUUGGACCGGAGUUGCCGAGAGAACAAAUUCUUGGGGACACCAAUUUUUUUUGGCAAUUUAAGCAUGAACAGGUUUCUCAUGUAUCUUCGGCUCAGUUGAUUGCAUACAUUGCCAAUAGAAAAACUGGUCCGAAAGGUUUCCGUGGGCAUUACCAAAGUAACACCAAAAAUACCACCAUCAUAAUUGAAGCAGUGACAUCAAAGGACUUGUAG